rnacentral:rRNA from 1 species
UUGACCUCGGAUCAGGNAGGGAUACCCGCUGAA